rnacentral:lncRNA from 1 species
GAGGUUGUAGUGAAAGUUUUCAAUUUGCAAUGUGGAAGAGCAUUCAAGAGUUUCGAUGUUGAAUGUGAAAUGAUGAAAAGUAUUCGCCAUCGAAACCUUAUCAAAGUUAUUAGCAGUUGUUCAAAUGAAGAGUUUAAAGCGUUGGUAUUAGAAUACAUGCCUCAUGGAAGUUUGGAGAAGUAUUUGUAUUCAAGUAACUGCAUUUUGGAUAUUUUUCAAAGAUUGAACAUAAUGAUAGAUGUUGCAUCAGCUUUGGAAUAUCUGCACUUUGGUCAUUCAGCUCCAAUAAUUCACUGUGACUUAAAGCCAAGCAAUGUAUUGUUAGACGAUAAUAUGGUUGCUCAUUUGAGUGAUUUUAGCAUCGCAAAAUUGCUAACAGGAGACGAUCAAUCUAUGACUCAAACACAAACAUUUGCCACAAUAGGCUAUAUGGCACCAGGUUUGUCAAUAAAAAAAUUUUCUAUUUCUUGUAAACUUCCUAAUAAGUUGUUUAUGUUUCAUGAUCUUCAUUAGAUGAGGAAAUUCUUAUUGAUGAUAUAUCUUACUAUGUAACUAUUGCAAUUCAUAGAGUAUGGAAGAGAAGGACGAGUAUCCGCAAAUGGAGAUGUUUAUAGCUUCGGGAUUAUGUUAAUGGAAACUUUUACUGGGAAGAAACCCACAGAUGAAAUUUUUAACGAAGAAAUGACAUUAAAGCAAUGGGUUAAUGAUUGGCUACCCAUUUCCACAAUGGAAGUUGUUGAUGCUAAUUUGCUUAGUCAGGAGGACGUACAUUUUGUUGCAAAGGAGCAAUGUGUGUCAUUUGUCUUCAAUUUGGCUAUGGCGUGCACUGUGGAAUCUCCUGAGCAGAGAAUCAAUGCGAAAGAAAUUGUAACAAAGCUCUUAAAAAUUAGAGGCUCAUUACUUAGAAAUGUUGGAGGCAGAUGUAUAAGACAAUCAAAUUUAAAUUGAUUCUGCCACUCCAUUGCUUGCUAUCAUUUUCAGAGACUUGAAUGGUUAUCCUUCAUACCAGUUUUGUUGAUAUGUUUCGUUAUUGCUCUUGCUCAUGUUUGUUUCUCUAUUUCUUUAAUUUGCAUGCAUGUAUUUUUCGUUCUCUUUUAUGUUUUUGUUGGUUUGUAUGUAGUUUGUUUUUAGGGGUAAGGUUGAUUAUGUCCUCCCCUAAUUACAUGUAUCCUUUUUAUGUUUAUUCAAUAAAGCUUCUCUAAUACUAUCGAGGUUCAUCAAAAGAAAAUUUUUAAUUAAUUUUCUUUUCUUUGACAGGUAAUGAAAUUCUAAUCUUCAUAGUGAAUAACUUCAAUAAUAGAGUGUAAGAGUAUUAGUAGUUAUGGUUGUUUUUUUAACCUGGAGUCAAGAGCAAUUUAAUAGCAACAAACAAGUCUCUUGUAUUGUAGGCAAAAUUCUUUUCAUUAAUCUUGUUUGUCUACAUGUUCUCCUAUUUUCUCCAUUAAUCUUCGCUCUAGGUUUCAUGCUUCCUCUUUGAUAAAGGAAAAUAUUACUUGCGAAUAUUUCAAUUUGACAUAAGAGACUGUUUUGCCAACCAUUUGAUAAAAUGGAUAUGAGUGGAGCUUUCAAUCAUUACCUCCACCAAAAUCCUUACAACGCCACUUUUAAAUUUUAGUUUUUAAAAUACAUUCAGUUUAAUUUAUAAAAAAUAAAUCCAUUUGUUAAAAUUAAUCUUUUUCUCAUAAAUUUCAACCUAAAAAAUAUAUUUCUUUUAAAUUUUUAAUUAUAAAAUACAUACAAGUUCUAAAUUAUUAUAUUAUUUUCUUCUUAUUAUAUAGUUUAUAUCUCCCUAACUCUAAACUCCUAUAAUUUUUUUAAUUUAAAAUAUAAAUAUAAAAUAUAGAAUGGAGUGGGUAUAAAAAAACUUGUUAAAAGAAUAAUUCAUUUAAGUAUUUAACUGAAUUUAAAUUAAAAUAAAAAAUAAAUUAAUUUAUUUUUUAUUAGUUAAGUAAUUUUCAAUUGAAAAAGAGCUGUAUGCGUAAUAUUAUUGAAAUAUGAUUAAAAUUCUUAUAAAUUAAAUAUUUUCGUAUAAAUACUAGUGAUAAUUACAGAGAAAGGACGAGGAACCAAAGAAAACUUGAAUAUAAAUACUCCAAUGUAAUUUUACACAUGCAAAUUAUGAACCAGUGAUCUUUAGAGCAUCAUAAAAUUAUUUUGACAAAAUUAUUUAUUUUGAAAAAUUGCCAACAAUGUUUAAAGUGGGAUUGAAAAGAUUAUACUACUUAUAUAAGACAUGAUAUCAAUUAGACGGGCCCAGCUACCUUCCACCCGCUGGAAGGUAUAGCUUAUUUUGUCCUCUAUUGUUGUGGGCGUUGGAUAUUUGAGAAGUUGAUCUAACGGUUCUUGUUCGGCAGCGUGAAAUUGAAUUUCAAUUGGCAACCGUUUCAUGAACUUUGCAAGAGACAAUUAUCUACAAAAAUAUUAAAAAAAUAAAACCAAUUUUUCCCUUUCAUCAGCCGCCGCCGCCGCCAUCCACGAACCCUUAAUAUCAUCAUCACCAUCCCAAUCCUUAGUCGCCAUCCACAAGCUCUAACAACCACCAUGACUGCCAUCACAACCACCACUCCUCACAACCCCUAGCCACCACUACAAACAUUCACAAAUUCUAUCCAUCAUUGUCAGUUCACCAGCCUUAUCCUCCAUUGCCGCGGCCUACCAAUCAUCCACAACACCUAACCGUCGUCACCAACAAACUUUCGCCGCCGCUUCCUACAAGGAAGCCUCACCACCCACCGCCGCACACACUCAAAGCCACACCAACCUCCAUACUAUUGCGAAAGAGGCCACAAUGUAGAAAAAUUCCAGCAGAGGAAGGAUGUUUUCCUUCUCCAGCUGACUAUUCCUUUUUAUCCUUUUUUUGUUUUUUAAUUAUUAUAUUACUUUUAGUUAUUUUUAGUUUUUCUUUUAUUUUAUCUAUAUUUUGGUUGUUAGAAUGUUUUUGUUGUUGUUGUUGGCGGCAGUGCAGUUGUAGCUCGUGAUGAUGAUGGUGAUGUUGGUGUCAUUUUAAUCGAGAUUUGUUUCUUUUUACCGGCUACGUCAGUCAUCUUCAUUCACUACAUGUCCAUUUCUAACAUGUUAGAUUUUACUACUUUUUAAUCCAAGAGUUAGACCACAACGAGACAAAAGAUGGUGUACCUUCCAACGAGUGGAAGGUAGUUCGGCCCAAUUUAGACAGAGUCUAUGCAAUAAAAAUUUCAAAUUAAAAAAUAAACCCUUUAUUUUCUUUUAAUCAUAAGUGUGAUCUUAAUUAUUAAAGUCUUUCAAUGUCCAUUACUUAUUCAUUUUUUUAAUUACCUAAAUGACAUUGAAAACUCUACUCAAUAAUAAUUCGUUCAAAUGUUUUCUUUUAAAGUAAUCGGAAAUUGCAAAUGAAACAAAUGCUUGAAAUCACAAACGGCCUAAAAUUAGAUUUUCAUUUUUCAAUGUUGCAGUGACAUUGAUCUUGAUAUUGAAAUUUUAUUUGUAACUUAUAUAAAGGCCUCAAUUUUAUCAUAAUUGGUUAGUAAGGCUACGUAGGGAGCAUAGUCUGUUAGGACUAGCAACUUAGUCUAAAAUUAUUGAAAUUAUUAAUAUUUUAUACUAUAAUCUUUUCAUUCCCACUUUAAAUAUUAUUGGUAACUUAAAUCAUUUUUAAAAAUUAAAUAUAAAAAUUAAUUUAAUUAAAUAUAAAAAUCAUUUAAAUUAAAUAUUAACAUUAAUUUCAUAAUUUUUUUACCUAGAAUUUUAUACUAUAUUAAAUACUAAAAUUAUAUUCGAUAAUGUAUUAUCAUUUAUUUAAUAAAUGUUUAGGUUUUAGUAUGUUAUAUUAUUAUUUAAAUUAAUUUUGUAAUUUUAAUAUGGGCAAAUUAGAUAGUCCAGUGAACAAGAGACUGAUUCCCAACCAUCCUAAGAAUUAGUCCCUCAUUUUUUAUUUCUAAUUGGAUGUGGGUCCAGUUAUUUUGAUUUCUCUUGCAUUGAAUGAAUGGAUGAGUGCUAAUCCAUGCAAAGACUUCCAUGCAUACACAAUGAAUGCUUCAUCAAAGGUCUGGUAAAAUGUCAGCACGCUUGUUCAUCCGGAUUUUGGACCAUUUUCAUUGACAAUGAGAAAAGCUGCAAGAUCUGUAAAUCGGAAACUCAUUGAGGUGCCAAAAGAGAGAUGGAAGUGAAUUACUAGAGAGUUAGCGAAAAGAGGGUGCAGUGAUUGUGUGGGAAGCUUUGGGUAUACUUGGGGUUUGGAUGUGAGAUAAAAUAAUUUGAGAGAGAGGUUGUAACAAUUUUUCGGUAAUAGAGUUUUUCAGGUAAUUCUUGUGUUGUGUGAUUGGAGUAUUCUCUAUUGUAUUUUUUUUAUUUGUUAUUUAUUUGACGUAUUGCUAGCGGAGAUCUUGGGUGGGAACCAAAAAUUCCCAACAAUUGUCAAUUGUUUUAAACUCUAUUUCGAACAGAGCAUGAAGGGAUUCACUUAUCUGAUUAUGUCUUUUAUGCUUUAACUUCACUUGAUUUCAUCUUGUCUGUCACCUUUAUUAAAGUUGUAUAUGUUGGAGUAUUAGGUUCAUCACAAGGAUCAUAUUAUGGCUAAGGAAGGGGCACAGUUUAUCAGCUGCACUCAAGUGUAGCAGAGUAUUUGGAUUCAAGACUGUUAGAAGGUUGUUACAAUGCAAGGCUGUUGCUGUGUAACUGUAUGCCAUUCUCGCAAGUGCACUCUUAACAGAUUGCUGAGCUGGCACCGGAUGUUUUUAGCUAAUAUUAGUUAUUGGUCUAGAGUGUUCUGAUUUAUUCUAUAAAUAGCUCAUUUGAGCUUAGAACCUUUAUAGUGUAUCAUACGAUUCCCUCUCUUCUAUUAAUGAUUUUCUCUAUUCCUUUUUCUUUCACUUUCUCUUCCAUUUUCAUGAUCCCCAAACACCAUCAAUCCAUGAUUUUCUAGAGUAUUAGUUGUCUAUUUCUACAAACAUAGAAUUGUUGUUUUAAGAAACAAAGUACUCUGUCCUGUCACCCGCGGUAUCCUUGUUUAUCGACUUGUGAACAGGGCUAAAUAAACGGCAAAUAAGAUAUUGGGUCAAUGGGUCUAACGUGAAUCGAGGGGGCUUGGCUUGUACCAGGCUCUAAAAGAGUUUUCUACGAGCGAGCAGUCUUUCUAUCCUUUUUUUGGGGUUGCAUGCCUUAUAUUGAAUUAUUGCCCUUUUCUUUUCUCCACAAAUCUUUGGUUAAUUUUUUAGGUUCCCUCAACUUUUUUCCCCUUUAGCACUAAAAUUCAUAUUUGAUACUUUAUGCAAAAAUUAUGAUGAAAAUGAGUCACUUUAGAACAUCAAGAAAUUUUUAUUUUUACAUCCAAGAUAACGACAGUUACACUUAGAUCACUCUCAUUUAGUUGAAUUAUAUAGGUAAUAAAGUUGGCUUAACAAAAUAUGAUUCUUAACUGUUGUAAUUAAGGGCUAGUAUUCUUUGGUUUUAGUUGUAGGGCUCAUAAUGCCAUGGCUCAGUUCUUGGUGGGUUCGAAUUAUUAGACGAUCAUUCUCAAUUCUUUACGAUUCGUAAUUAAAAAUUCCUAUAUCACAAUUAGAACUUACAAACAAGUCAAAGUGGGUUAAAUCAUAUGUAUAAAUUCGAGGUCUAUUACAAACUUUUAAAAAAGAUUUUCUCUGUUUUUUUUUUCUUUCACCUUCUCUUCCAUUUUCUCAAUCCCCAAACACCACCAAUCCCUGAUUUUUUUAGUAUUAGCUGUCUAUUUCUACAAACAAGUUCUUGAAUUGAAUGGCUCCUCUUUUAUCCAUAGAUCUUUGCUUAAUAUUUUUGUUCCCUCAACCUUUUUCGGCCCUUUGCUCUAAAAUUCUUUUUUGAUACAUUACGCAAAAAUUAUGAUGAAAAUAAGUUACUUUAGAACAUCAAUAAAAUUUUAUUACAUCUAAGAUAAGACAAUUAUACUUAGAUUACUCUUAUUUAGUUGAAUUAUAUGUAAGAAAAUUAGUUCAAUAAAAUAUAAUCCGUAAAUAUUCCUUAUCACAUGAUUAACGUACUUAAAAAUUCUUAACUGAUCGGUCGCUUGUUUUACAAUUCUUUUAUAUAUCUUUGAAACUUUCAGCUUCCCAACACAUCAUAUUGUUCUCAAUUCGUCUAAUUUUUUUUUUUUCAAACACUGCAGCAACAACCAGUAUAAAAUAGUAUAAACUCAUUUAAUGGAAAUUUUCCUAGAUGCUUUCAUGGCAGAAUCUCAUUGGUCUAUUUCUCUUCGCAUCUUAGGUUCCUCUAACAAACCGGCCUCUUAACUCUCAUGUCCGAAUUUAAACUUAAAAGAUGUUCCCCGUCCCACGUGUCCCCAAAUCUUUGUAUUUCCAAACAAACCCCUGCCAACUAAGUCAAGUGAUAGGAUGGCUUUUAUUAUUUUUAAUCUCAUAUAUGAACGUUAUGGCCAUGGGACAUUGGAUAAAACUAAGUAAAGUGAUAGUGAUAGGAUGUCCCACUGUAUGAACGUUAUGGCCAUGGGACAUUGGAUAAAACUAAUGGAAUGUAAAGCAAAAUUACCGAUUAAACUAAAUUGAAAAUCCAACCAAUUGAAUCGGUUCAGUGUCACUCAAAAUAUGUGUGUGGUGGUGUGUGUAAAACAACACAAUUAUCAUAUUAAUGAGGCACUGUUAAAUUCAUUCAGCGAAUAUUUUUCUUUUUCAUUUUCAAUGAAUGCUUAAUAUGACAAACAAUCUGUCCCAUUGAGCACUGUUUAAGUCAUUCAAUGAAAAUGAAUACUUCUAUAACAAAACAAUAAUUCCCUUAUUUAUUUGAGACGCAAAGAACUUUCUUGCUCAGCUCGGCGGCCAAUCCUUUAAAUUUGUUAAAAUUCAGUUAAUUGAUGAACGAGAUAUAACCCAAUAAAUUGUUUAAUUUGUAUAAUUGAUAAAAAUUUGAACUUCAAAUAAUAUAGAUAGAAUGAUUAAUUUUUUUCAUAUUUAGAUAAUUGAUAUAUGUCAUGUUACUAUGAGUAAAAGAAUGAAGUGUAUGAUAGAAAACAUAAUGUUUAUGUUUGUAUUAAAAAUUUUAAGUGCAAAUCUAUUUAGUGUAGGUUAGACAUAGAAAUAGUUACCAACUUGUCUUGUUUCUCAUUUUGUUUAAUUUUCCUAAUUUGAAUAACUAUUAAUUAUGAGUCAAGGGUUUAUUGCGAAAAUAUGGUCUUCCAUUUACUAUAAAAAGAUUAGCGUGAUUUAAUUAUUUUUCUUUUUGCUUGGUGUCUGUAAAAUUAUGAAUACUUUGGUAAAUAAGAUAAUUAUAAAUACUAUUUUGAAAAUCCAUGGCCAUGGUUGUGAUGUAUCUUUAUCAAUCACGGAUACAAAAAUUAAUCAAAAUUAUCGAUUGUUUUAAAUUCUGUUUUUAACAAAGCAUGAAGAUGUUACUUAUCUAGAUUUAAUUUUUAUGCUUUCACUUCACUUAAUACAGCUUCUUCGCAGCAAGCAGAAGCGCUAUUGGUGACGAGAGGGAGAUCAACGGAACGCGGCCCCAGUGGGAGUCAAAAUCAGGGUAGAUCAAAAUCCAGAAGUAAGAAGAAUGUUAAAUGCUACAAAUGUGGCAAGAAAGGGCACGUCAAGAAAGAAUGUUGGAGUAACCAGAAGAGAAAAGAAGGCAAAGAAACUGAGUCAUCAAAUGCUCAGGGUUGUGUAGCAAGUACCUCGGAUGAUGGCGAAAUUCUUUACAGCUAGGCAACAACUGUUUCAGAAGGCAGAAAACGACUUUCUGAUGUCUGGCUUAUAGACUCAGGAGCUACCUGGCACAUGACCUCUAGGAGAGAAUGGUUCCACACAUAUGAACCUAUCUCAGGAGGAUCUGUAUAUAUGGGAGAUGAUCAUGCCUUGGAGAUCGCUGGUAUUGGUACUAUCAAAAUAAAAAUGUUUGAUGGUACAAUUCGCACAAUUGGAGAGGUACGACAUGUCAAUGGCCUGAAGAAAAAUCUAUUGUCUUUGGGACAAAUGGAUAGUCAUGGGUACAAAACUCAUGUGGAGAAUGGAAUUAUGAAGAUUGUUAAAGGCGCGCUUGUAUUGAUGAAGGCAGAAAAGAUCGGUGCUAAUCUAUUCAUGCUUAAAGGAGAAACACUACAGGAGGCUGAUGCGUGUGUCGCGUCAAAUGGAGAAGAAUCAACAAUGAUGUGGCAUCUCAAACUUGGUCACAUGUCAGAACAAGGUUUGAAGAUUCUCUCUGAGCGAAAAUUGCUUCCGGGGCUUAAAUCGGUAAGUUUACCAUUUUGCAAGCAUUGUGUUACAAGUAAGCAGCAUAGAUUAAAAUGAAGUAUUAUUUUCGACGAGGCGCCACCUAAUCAUUCGUUUUCUGGGUGAACAUAUUAUUUUCGCCAUCAUCUCUAUAACAAUGAAGUGAAAAUAGUUCUCAUUUAAAGUAUUGACAGCAAUGUUAUACUCAAUAUAACGUAUAAAGCACGCAUAAUUUAAUUAAUGGGGCAGCUGCUAGUACCUUCUUUAGAAGAGAAUUAUUGCGGCAAGGUAAUUGGAAGCUCAAAGAGUUUCCGUAUUAGCCGAAUCUAAGCGAUAAGUGUUUCCAUGUGAGCCAUAAUUUGCGAAAAAGACCAAUUCGAGUUAAAGAUCAGAAAACAAACACUGUCAACGAGCAUUAAUGUCAUUUGAUGCAUGAAAGACAAUUAGUCCCAUUUUUUGUCCUGUUUACUUGACUUGGGCAAUUUGCCGUCAACUUUUAUCAUCCACGUCAGGUAAUGUGGCUUUUAUUUGGUAUGAAAAAGCUAAUGCUUUACGAUAAAACUAUCACACACAUAUUUAUCCAUAUGUAAUGUUCAAAUGACACUCAAGUAUUGCCCAAAUUAGCCUUUUAAAAAUUCAUUUUCAAAAACCCAUGGUUGUGAUGUGUCUCUAUAAUUAAGAUCUAUCUGUUACCAACUGUUUUAACUAUGUUCUAAACAGAGCUUGAAAGGGUACAUUCACUUAUCUAGUUAUGUUUUUUAGGCUCUCACUUCUCACUUUACUUGAUUCACCUUAUCCCUCUUUUGAAACAAUUGUAUAUGUUGGGGUAUCAAGUGCAUCACAUCGAUCAUAAUCAUAUUAUUCACCUUAUCCGUCUUUUUAACAGACUGUUGAGAUGGCACCAAAGAUUGUAAAGUAAUUAGUACUGGAAAAUCAUGAGUUUGAUGAUGAAGAGGACGAAAAAUAUUAUUUUAUUAUUUAAAAUAAGACUAUCAAUUAUUUCCAUGGUCAUCUUGUUGUCCUCUUGAUCUUCAUAACAUCCAUAUUAAAUUACUGAGAAAUACGAAAGCGGAAGCGUACCUGAAUCCAUGAUGAUUCGUAGUGGUUCUUGAGUGUAGGAGACGGACUUCCAAUCUUCUCUUUCUCUUGAGUUUAGAAUUCUCUUUGAGAGGAUUAGAGAAUUGCAAAGGAUUAAAGAGAUUGGGGACCAUAACCCCUUUUAUAUAAAUAUCGUGACUAUUGGUAUUCUUUUAGAAAACCCAACAGUCACGUUAUUUAUGAUAAUAAUUAUCACUUCAGCCCCUCAUUAAAGUGAUGAUUAAAUUCUGGUAUCUAUGCAUUUAAUCCACAACAAUUAUACUCUUAGCCAUUUAAUUACCUUCAAAUAGAUCAUUUAAUUCUUGGCUUAUUAAAUAAUAGCACACACAUUUUAUUUAUUUCAUGUGUGGCCCCAAAUAUAUUAGAUUAAUAUAAAAUUGAUCUAACACAUCUUACUUUUUUUUUAUUAUUAAUUGGCCUAAAUAUUGUAUUUUUUGUCAGGAGUCUUGCAAUGCUGCGUAGCACCGUAAGUAAGAAGAAACGUGUCUAAGGUUGCCACGUGUAGUCUCAACAUGUGUGUGAAAACUGAAUUAACCAGUUUGCGUUCGACAACAAAGGAAAAUGCUUCUUGUUGCUGACCGAUUGCUAAGUAUUUCAAUACCUCCACCAAAAUCUUUAUAACACCCUUUUUAAUUUUAUUUUCUGAAAUACACUUAAUUUUUUAAAAAAAGAGCUUUAUGAGAAAUUUUCAAUCUGUCAAAAGGCCUACUUAAUGGACUGGAUCCCGACUCAUUAAUUUUAUAACCCGACUUACAAUCCGACUCAUUAUUCACAGAGAUUAAUUUGCUAUUGCUUAAGGUACAAUAUUUACUAAGCAAUUUAUCGGCAAUAAAACAUGUAUAUUAUAGUGGUUUGUAAUAAAAUUGGAAGAAGACAUCACGUACGAAUUGGAUUUAUCUCAUGAAAUUUGAUUAACGAAAGUGUAUGAAAAUAUAUAAAGAAAAUAGUAAAAAAAAUGUUGUGUAAAUGCUGUAUAGGUGAUAUAUUACUUUUAUAAUCCAUCAAGGUACAUUUGACUUUAAUGAUGAAACAAAUACAAAUAAAUCCAUGUACGUCAAUGCUAGAUGGCUCCAUAUUAAACUUGUGAAGUAUAGAAAAUAAGCGAGAUUCGUAAAAAAUAUUUUAGAUAAUACCACUGAAAAGUUAUAAAAAUAUUUUUUUAAGAAAAGAAAUACAUACUCGAGACACCAAGACCAACACGCACAAACUCACACAUUGACAUAUUAAUUGAGGGGAAAAUGAUAUUCUGAGUAAUAUUGUUGACAUAUGAUUAAAAUUCUUUUUAAUGAAACAUUUUCGCAUAAAUACUAGUGAUGUUUGUAGAGAAAGUAGAAUGAAGUGAAAAAAAUUUGAACAUAAAUGCUCCAAUAUAAUUUCGCCCAUGCAAAUUAUGAACUAGUGAAACUUUAAAUCAUCAUAAAAUUGUUUCCACAUAAGUAAUUAGUUUGAAAAAUUGCCAAUAAUGUUUAAAGUGGGAACGAAAAGAUUAUUCUAUAUGAGACACGAUAUUAUUUAAGACAGCUUACAAAUUAUGGGAAAUGUAUUGAUCUUACAAAUAAUAUUUAAUAAGUACAAAUUUCAAAUUAAAUAAUAAACCCUUGAUUUCCUUUUCAUCAGAAUUAUGAUCUUAAUAAUUAAAGUCAUUCAAUCUUAAUCACUUUUUCAUUUUUUUAAACUAUCUAAAUGACAUUGAAAACUUUACUCAAUAUUAAUUUAUUCGAAUGUUCUGUUUCAAAAUAAUUGAAAACUGUAAAUGAAACAAAUGCUUGCAAUCACAAAUGGCCUAAAAUGGGAUUUUUAUUUUUUAAUAUUGCAAUGACUUUGAUCUUGAUAUUGGAAAUUUAUUUGUAACUUAUACUAAGUCUUCAAUUUUAUCAAAAUUAGUUUCUAGAGAUGCAUUUGCCAUAAUGUGUAGUUGUAUUGUAUGAUGAUAUAUUACAUUAGGGUGCAUUGUAUUGAGCUGUAAUGCAAUACUAUUUUAUAUUAAUGUUAAAACUAAAUCAACCUUAUUUAAAUUUAUUAAUAUUUUAGGGUUUUAUUAGUAAUAUCUGAAAUUAAGUAUUAAAUAAUUAUUUUUAUAAUAUACAAAUUAUUUAAUAAUAUUCUACUAUUAAAUAAUAAAAUAUUACAAUAUUAUGUUAUAUUAUUAACAAUUAUUCUGUUAUAAUAUAAUUUAUUUUUAUAUAUUAGUUAUUAUAAUUCACUAACACGAAUUAAUUUCUACCAACAUUACCGAAUGAUUGUAUCGAUUUUUAAGCACGUAAACAUACCAGCUUUCUUUCUUUUACUCUCUAUUUCAUGUUUAUUCAAUUUCAAUCUUCUGCAAGUUUUUGGCUGUUUUAUUAGUUACAAAAUUCUCUAGGAUUGCAUGUAGAUUAUGGUUUUACGUGCAUUUUUUCUUCUUUUUUUUUUUUUUUUUGGGUAAACAUAUUAUUUUAUCAUCUAUCACUAUAAGAAUGAAAUGGAAAUAGUUCUCAUUUAAAGUAUUGACAGCAAUGUUAUACUCAACAUAACGUAUAAAGCACGCAUAAUUUAAUAAGGUUCUGUUUGGGAUUGAGGUGUUAUACUUUUUAAGUUACAGCUGCUGUGAAAAAAAAUUGUAACUCUAGAACAAAAGUUAAUAACAUUUAGUAAAUAUAAAUUUUAAAUAAUAAUUUUGAAAAAAUUAUUAAAGAUAUAAAGAUUUCCAUCAUAUAAGUGAAAAAUCAUAUCAACAUAGCUUCCAAGCUACAGCACUUAGUAUUUACCAAAUAUUCUAGUGCUGUACUUUUAAGUUACAACUGUCCAACCUCAAUCACAAACACACUCUAAAUGGGGUUGCUAAUAUCUUCUUUAAAAGAGAGUUAUCGCAGCCGCGUAAUUGGAAGCUCAAAGGGUUUCCAUAUUAGCCGAACCUAAGUGAUAAGUGUUUACAUAUGAGCCACAAUUUGGGGAAAAAAACAAUUCAAAGUUAAAGAUAAGAAAAGUGUGUCCCGGACGAAUACAAUAAUUCAAGCCACAGAUUUAUCAAACGCAUGGCAGAGACGCUUCAACAUGUUGUCUCAUGGAAAGAGAUCCUUCAGUCUUUGGCGUAAUACUUGGGGAAACGUAAAUUGACUUUACAUUAAAACAAAACAAAACAAACACUGUCGACAAACAUUAAUGUCAUGUAGUUAAGAAAAACUUACUUUAUCUUCGAUAAGUGCAAGAGAGGGGUGGGACAGUUGGACUCAUUUGAUGCAUGAAAGACAAUUAGUCCCAUUUUCUGUCUUGUUUACCUGACUUGGGCGAUUUGCCGUCAACUUUUCUCAUCUACGUCAGGUAAUAUGGCUUUUAUUUGAUAUGAAAAAGCCAAAACUUCGAUGAGCGGGACAUCACUGAUUUGUAUAAUUUUCAGGACUAGAAAAUUAUCUCAAUUUCAAAAUAUAUAAUUACAAUUAUCGAACACCACUAAUUCCAACAAUUUAUCCAAAGAUAUUUUUGAGCUUCAAGGAAUGUAACACUUAUGGUAGAAUGGUCAAAAUUUUCAACUUUUUAGAUAUUUGAUAUAUGCCAUGUUCUAACUUACAAUCAGAAUAAAAUUAUAGUAUAAUUUUUUUAAAUUAGUGGAAUUAUUUUACGAUAAAACUAUCACAAUAAAAUUUAAAUAUAAAGUUAUUCUUUAAUUUUUCACUACUAUUACUGAUAUUCUUAAACUCUUUGCUGAAUGGAGCAUGAAAGGACUACUUAUCUAGAUACGUUUUUUAUGCUUUCACUUCGCUUGAGCUUAGAACUUACAACUCGUAUUUUACGUUUCUCUUACUUUCUCUUCCAUUUUCCCGACACCCAAACACCAUCAAUCCUUGAUGUUGUAGAGUAUUGGCUGUCUAGUUCUACAAACAUGGACCUACUGUUAGUGCUUUAGAUCUUCAGACGGUUAGCUAACUAUUAUUUGAAUAUUAAAAUUAAUUUGUUAAAUAAAUAAAGAAAACAAGAGACAACUGCCAUAUCUAUUCCAUAUUAAUUAGUCACCGUCCCACUGACUCUGUCGAUUCACGCUUUGAUGAAGUGAAACGCUUAACGCACUAUUGUGAUGCGCAGGAGAGGAGGAAAACACAAUUUUAUUAUUGCAAUCCUGACACGCACAAAGAGCUUUCUUACAGGGCUUGGCAGCUAAUUCUUUAAAAUUUGUUAAAAUUCAUUUAAUUGAUGAAUGUGACAUAAAUCUCUAUAAAUAGUUUAAUUUGUAAAAUUGUUAAAAAUUUAAAAUUCAACUAGGGGUAGAUAAAAUGAUUAAUUUUCUCAAUAAUUAGAUAAUUGAUAUAUGUCAUGUUAUUAGGAGUGAAUGAAUGAAAUUUUCAAUAGAAAACACAAUGCUUGUAUUAACAAUUUUAAGUGCGAAUCUAUUUAGCGUAGGUUGUCCAUAAAAGUAGUUGCCGACUUGUCUUGUUUCUCAUUUUAUUUAAUUUUCAUAAAUUGGACUCACAAUCAAUUAUGAGUGAAGAGUUUGUUGGAAAAAUCUGCUCUUCCAUUUAUUGUAAUCAGAUGAGUGUAAUUUAAUCCUUUUUUUUUCUUUUGCUUGAUGUCCUGAAAAUUAUGAAUGGUUUGUACUACAAGAAAAACUAGAUAUAGCAACGAGUAUUUUACGUUUCUAAAACCAUUAACAACAUGCAUCCGCGUGCUGUGGAUCAAGAUGUUGUCUUUGGGUAAGUUACUUCUAACAAUAGCAAGACGCGUUGUUAAAACUCACGCGCUUGUAGUUAAAAAUGCUUUAAACAACGCAAAAUUUCUUUUAACAACAUGCAGUAUGAUCGUCGUGAAUUGUGUUACUUUAUUUUAUUUAUUUUAUAUCCACAUUUUGCUUACAAAAUCCUUUUAUUUAUUUUUUCCAAUAUUUCUUUUUUUUAAUAAAUAUUAAAAACUUACAGCUACAAACAAACUACUAAUUGAAUACAAAAAUUAUAGUUCAUAAAAAAAAUAGCAAUAAAUUUAUUUGAUAAUCACUACAAUUAAAACAAUUUAUAUUACAAAAUUCAAUACUCUCACAAAGAUAUCAUCAUUACAGUGAUCUCUUCAUCACAUACAAAGGCUUUGGAUGGAGCUUCUGAAUGCUGAUAACACCCAAAGCCUGCUUCAUAUAUCAUGUCAUUAGCAAUAAAAUCAAAUCUCCUAGACAAACAAAAUCAAGAUGAAUCGAAAUAUAUAGCCUAGCAAAUGAAAUUUCAAUUCACUCUCAAUAGAAUGAACUUUCUAAGAACUUAUCUUGUCCUAUUAUUAAAAUUAUAAAUUUUACAUAAAAUGAAAAGUUAAUUAUUGGCUAAAAAAUGAUACAUAAAAUGACCGUCCAAUUAAAUUGCAAGUGGGCAUUCCUACCAUUCUUGUCUCAUGCUUGUUAUAUUUAAAUUUACAAAUCACACCAUGUCAGUAUGGUGAUGAUGUAAAAUUGUUUCACCAAAUUUUUUAUCUUGAUAAUCUUGGUUAUAGAAAAAAUAUUGGGCGCUCCCAGUGGAUGCUUCUAUUGAGUGGCAGAAUCAGCAUUUUAUUUCGAUGGUAGCCAUAAUAAUUAAACUAUAAACUUAAGUUGAUUGUGAAAUAAAAUCAACGUUGUAAAUACUGCGUCCACAUUUUAUAUACAAACAUAUAUAUAUACAUACAUACAUACAUACAUAUAUAUAUAUGUAUGUAUGUAUGUAUGUAUUUUCGUUCAAUUAAUUAUUAUACCAUAUGAUGUAUUCAAUUAAUUAUUAUACCAUAUUAUUGUACAAAUUGAUGAUAAUAUGGUAUAAUAAUUUAUUUUAAUUUAUUUUCUUAAAAGAGAAUUCAUCAAUUUGUACAAUAAUAUGGUAUAAUAAUUAAUUGAACGAAAAUACAUACAUACAUACAUACAUACAUACAUACAUACAUAUAUAUAUAUAUAUAUAUAUAUAUAUAUAUAUAUAUUGUAUAAACUAACAUGGCAACAUAUGAUUGGUUAAUAAAAGAAUAAAUAUAUAUCAAGUGGGUUCUACCAUGUUUUUAAUUCAACUAAUGAUAAUAUGCCACAUCAAUUUGUACAACAAUAUUUGUGACUAUAUCAUUACUCGUUAAUUAAUAUGAACGCUAAUUUAUUUUCUUAAAAGAGAAUUCAUCAAUUUGUACAAUAAUAUUUUCACAAAAAUAUUUGUGACUGUAUCAAUACUCAUUAACUAAUAGACCGCUAUUUUAUUCUUCUUGAAAGAGAAUUACUGCAGCGAGGUUGGAGGCUCAAAGAGUUCUCAUUUAGCCAAACAUAAGAGAUAAGAGUUCACAAGAGACGUAAUUUGGAAAAUCAAUUCUAUCCAAUAGGCGAUAGGUCUCAAUGGAUUCGACUCAGUAUACGAUCAUUUGCGAUUUUUUAACGUCUUGUAAUUACAGAUUCCGAUAUCACAUUAUAAUUUUCAAACAAAUCAAAGUGAGUCAACUCAAAUUUAGAAAUUUGAGGUCUACUUUAAACUUUUGACAUUAAAUUUAAGAUAAUUAAGUAAAUGCUAGACAAAAUCUAACUUGUAAAUAUACCUUACUGCACGAUGAACGUUCUUAAAAAUCUUAACUGAUUGCUCACCAAUUAAUUGUUGUUUUAUAAUUUUGAUAUAUCCUUUCUUUUCCCUAAAACUUCUAGUUUCCUAACAUAUUGUUCUCAAUUGGUCUAAUUAUAAUGUAAUUUUUUUUUAAAUAUUAAAAAAAUGAAUUUAUUUAAUGGAAAUUAAAAAAAAAAAAAAGACACUUAUCUAUGCAAGCAAAGUUGCAUUCUGUUUGUGGGGACCUUAAAAGAAAAAGCAUAAUGAUACACUGAUGACGACAAUCCUUAAGUAUUUGUUUUCUUUAGUUACAGUUUGGUUCGAAUGGUUAAGUUCAAGUUCGAAUUUUCUUUAGUUACAUGUCAUAAGAUACUUUGCUCAAAGCUGCAAUUGGGCAACGCCGUGCUGUUCUUAUCGGCCAAUGCAAGCCAUUUACUAUUCUUUCUAAUGGAGCAAAAUAAGAUGAUUCUUACCUGCAUAGAGAAUUAGAAAAGAAAAGGAGGAUUACUGAUCCACAGAGCUGUCAUUUGCUAGAAGCACAUAAAUCUUACACUUAAUUCAUUAUCCAUAUGUAAUGUUCUAAUGAUACUUAAGUAUUACCUAAAUUAGCCUUUCAAAAUUUCACUUCGAAAAAAUCCAAGGUUGUGAUGUGUCUGUAUAAAUUCGCUAAUACAAGUUCUCUCUAUUCCCAAUUGUUUUAAACUCUGUUCUGAACAGAGCAUGAAAGGAUAUAUUCGUUUAUCUAGUUAUAUUUUUUAUGUUCUCACUUCACUUGAUUCACCUUCUCCAUCUUUUAAAACAGUUGUAUAUGUCGGAGUAUCAAGUUCAUCACAAGGAUCAUAUUAUGGCCAACAUAUACAACUGUUUUAAAAGUGUUAGUAGGUCGUAACACUAUAUGCCAUGCUGGCAAGCGUGCUAUGACUGAUUGCUAUUUGCACGUAAAAUUUGCCCAAAACAAAUAGAAUGAGAAUACUUGUACAAAAGGACGAGAUUAAUAAAGUGAAACCUAAGUGAUAAGAUUAAUGCUUGCCAAACCUAAGUGAUAAUAUGAGAUAUAAUUUGGAAAAAAAAAAAAAAUUCAAGUUAAAGAUAAAAAAUCUAUGUUCCUUAAAAAACAUAAUUCAAGCCACACAAUUUUUCUUGUUUUAUUUGAAAAAAAGAAAAUUGUGUUCCUCACAAAAACACUUUAACAUUUGUUGUCUCAUAGAGGGAAAUGUCCUUCACUCUUUGACGUAUCCCUGGGGCAAUGUAAGUUGACUUAAUUUUGACAAGUGCAAGAGAUUGGUGGGACUCAUUUGAUUCAAUUGAAACGUUGUCCACAAACUCUAUCACAAUCUAAUUUAAAAAAAAAAAGUUAUUCUUUAAAUUUCGCAUUACUAUUCCUACUUUUCUUGUUAUACUACUUAAUAGCACGGGUGAAGCCUCAAAUUAUCAAACAAAAGGCAAAAAUAGUUCAAUAUCUGCUGUCCCACUGAGCAUUGUUAAAUUCAUACGAUAAAAUGAGUACUUAUAUUAAAAAAAUAAUCAGUCUCAUUGCGUGCUCUUUCAUUGACAUAGGCAAUUUGCUGUCAACUUGUGGCAUUUUUAUGAAUUUUCAAGACGGGUGAAUUUUUCAAAUUUAAAAGAAAAAAAUGCAAAAAUGUAAUUUCAAUUUAUCCAAAAAUUUGAGUUUCAAGGAAUACAACAUUUAUUAUAUGUCAUGUUAAUAUAGAGAAGAAAAUUUUAAAAACUUAUUUUUGGAUGAAUAAAAGUAUUUUCUGAUAAAUAUUUCACAAUCAAAUUUAAAAAAUUUCACUCCUCUUGUUACAUAAUUUAAGAAUUUAACAUUAUAAAUUAAUCUUUUUAAUCAAAGUAAUAAUCUCUCCUCGGUCUGCAAAUGCUAAAAUUUAAUAUUAUAUCCAUUGACAAUAUUUGCUCCAAAUUCACGAAAAUAAAAUUUCUAACAGAAUUAUGAAAUUCGCUACUAGAAAUUUGUAUAAAAAUUGUGAGAAUAGAAGGUUUGAUCAUAGGAAAUUAAUAUAUCCCUAUCCAAAAUGAUUGUAAAGAAAAAAAAAAGUCAUGGGCUUAUUUAGAAAAAAAGAAAAAAUUACAUUCCAUUUUCCAGUUAUUAAAGUAAUUCUAAAAUCGCUAGGAUCACAAAGGAUAGGCUUUGGUUGACUGAGGUCAUGCCGGUCUUUUUCUUCUCUACAUUCUUAGAAAUUUUGGUUUCACUAUAAAUACUCGGUAUAUAGCAAACUUAUAAGUGUUCUUGAAUUACCAAUCCAACUAAGCACACGCUUACAAUAUAAAUACUCUCAUCUCAUGGAAAGACUUCAUUCUCUCAGGAUGAUGAGCAGAUUUCUCUUACUCCAUUGUUUGAUUCUUAUUUCCUUAUUUAUCGCGGCAGCAACAGCCAACACAAGUUCUACUAUCACAGACCGAGAUGCUCUGUUAGCCCUGAAAGCUCACAUAACUCAUGAUCCGACCAAUUUCUUGGCUAAGAAUUGGAACACAAGUACUCCUGUCUGUAAUUGGACAGGCGUCGCUUGUGAUGUCCAUAGCCAUAGAGUCACAGUCUUGAAUAUUUCAAGCUUAAAUCUCACGGGCACCAUCCCUUCUCAACUUGGGAAUCUUUCUUCUCUACAAUCACUCAAUCUCAGUUGUAACCGACUUUUUGGUUCCAUUCCCUCCGCCAUCUUCACCAUAUAUACACUGAAAUAUGUUAGUUUACGUGAAAAUCAGGUCUCCGGGCAAAUUCCUGCAAAUAUUUGCAGUAAUCUUCCUUUUCUGGAUUACCUUUCUUUGGGCAAAAACAUGUUUCAUGGAGGAAUACCGUCCGCUCUAUCAAAUUGCACAUAUUUGCAAAUCUUACAUUUGUCAUACAAUGAUUUCUCGGGAGCCGUACCUAAAGACAUCGGUAAUUUGAGCAAACUUAAGGAAUUAUAUCUUGGUCGUAACAGACUCCAAGGUGCGAAUAAUCACGGAGUUUAAUUAUGAAAAUUGUUCCACAAGUUGUAGUAUGAAUAAUGUUCCAUAAGACAAUUUGCACACGUUGAUUAAUUUGCAGGAGAAAUUCCUCGAGAGUUUGUCAACCUUACGGAAUUGGAGCGGAUGUCGUUAUCAGAAAACGAACUCCAAGGUAUGAUUAUGAACUUUUUGCAAUUUUAUUCUAGCCUCUGCUUGCAUCUGUAUUCAUUCGUUUGUUCGUCAAUUAUGCUCCAUGUUUUAUUGUUUUUUCUUUCAGAUAUAGAUAAAGCUCCAUGUCUCGCCUCACUCAUUUCAUUCUUUAAAUUAUGCAGAUAAAAAUUUUUAAAAAAUGUUUUGUAAUUUUCAUUUGUCAUAUUGCCGCUUCCGUUUUGAAGCUCCCAAUUAAGUCGAUGAAAAUGAAUGACGUUUCAUUCUUAUUCUUGUCAGCCUAAUUCUUAUAUAAAUGAAGAGUAAAUUGUUAUUACGAUAUUGGUCAGCCAAUAAAUUCUUCGUUUUUUUCCCCAAAUAUGAGUGAUCAAAUUGUUUGCGCAUAUAUAAAUGUACUUAAUUUGCAGGAGGUAUUCCACGGGAAUUGGGGAAUCUUACAAAAUUGGAGGGGUUACAGCUGUUUCGGAAUAAUUUGACUGGUAACUUUCUUUAGGAUAUAUAUAUAUGAGACAUCUUCCACUUCUUAAUUAAAAGAUUUCAAGUCUCUCAUUAUAAAUUCUCAUAUGAGGAUGUGUCGUUAGCACUAUCUAAUAUUAUUCUAUUUUUUUAUUAGAAAUUAGUUUGUGUUAAUUCAAAAUUCUAUAGCAUUUAAAAAAAAUUAAAAACACGUGGAAUAAAUCGUCGAUCUUUCUUCUUUACUGAAUUUGGAUUUCUCAAAAAUUAUCUCAACAAGUAUGCUUCACUAAUGCUAUGCACGUGUGACAACUUCAUAAAAUAUUUUACGUGGAAUCACUAAUUAUCUUUAAAUAAUUAGAGAUACCAUCAGUGAUACAUAAUUUCUUAACAAGCACCAUACCAAAAGAAAUCAACAAUUUUAUUAAUCUUAAAGAGUUACAUGCCUCUGUAUUAAUUCGUUUGUUCAUUAAUUAUGCUGUGAUUUAUUGUUUUUCUUUCAGAUAGAGAUAAAGCUCCAUCUCUGUCCUCACUCAUUUCAUUCUUUGAUUUAAGCAGAUAAAAAUAAAAAAAAAAUGUUUUGUAAUUUUCUUUUGUCAUAUUACCACUUCCAUUUUGAAGCUUCCAAUUAAGUCGAUGAAAAUGAAUGAUGUUUCAUUCUUAUUCUUGUCAGCCUAAUUCUUAUAUAAAUGAAGAGUAAAUUGUUAUUACGAUAAUCGUCAGCCAAUAAAUUCUUCUUUUUUUUUUGCCCCCAAAUAUGAGUGAUCAAAUUGUUUGCGCAUAUAUAAAUGUACUUAAUUUGCAGGAGGUAUUCCACGGGAAUUGGGGAAUCUUACAAAAUUGGAGAGGUUACAACUGUUCUGGAAUAACUUGACCGGUAGCUUUCUUUACAAUAUAUAUACGAGACAUCUUCCGCUUUUUAUUAGAAAUUAUAUAUUCAAGUUAAAUUAUUCCGUUUAUUAUUAGAAAUUAGUUUGUGUUAAUUCAAAAUUCUGUAGCAUUUAAAAAAAUUAAAAACACGUGGAAUAAAUUGUUAAUCUUUGCUCUUUACUGAAUUUGGACUUCUCAAAAAUAAUCUUGACAAGUAUGUUUCACUAAUGAUAUGCAUGUGUGACAACUUCACAAAAUAUUUUACAUGGAAUCACCAAUUAUCUUAAAAUAAUUGGAGAUGCCAUCAGUGAUACAUAAUUUCUUAACAAGCACCAUACCAAAAGAAAUCAACAAUUUUAUUAAUCUUAAAGAGUUACAUCUUCACUGCAAUUAUGACAUAAAUUUUUAGUCAUCAAUCGCAUAAUAUUUUAUCUUAACUGAUGAUGAUGUUCAAUCUUGGAAUUUAUAGUAUCUUGAAGGUUAGUAGCUUUGAAAAUAAGAAAUUGUUCGUUUGCUAAAAAGUUAACUUAGUAUUUAAGUUUUCCAAUUGAAAAUUUUGAAAAAAGCGUUGAGAGCUGGCGCUCCAUAGUAUUUCAGCGGAUAAAUAUGAAAAAUAGGCUAGAAGAAAUUAUUUUACUGAAAUAAGAGUUAAAAAGAUAGGAGAAGUACAGUACUCAUGACUUAGGCUUUCUGUGUGUGCUUAUUCUACUUGGGCUUUGGGCUUGAUUACGCCCGUUAUAAUAAUAGGCUUUUACUUUCACCACACAUGAUGAUUUCUUAACCUUCUCAAUUAGGUUAUAGCAAUUUAUAUAUAAAUAACUAAAGCAUACUAAAGCUAGCUUUGAUGUACGGAUGAGUGGCGUCAAAAGUGUAUCUGUUUUUAUGUAUUAUUUAUUCUCUAAAACAUAUCUGAAUACAAUUCUUUCAAAAUACCGAGGAACUAGCACAGGAAAUCGGAAAUAUUUUAUUGCGAUGAGAAUUCGUAUAUUCAUUGUAGUAGAACAUAUAAAAUAGAUUAUAAAUUUAUUAUUCUUUGAAACAAACCUGAUUAUAAUUCCUUCAAAAUUAAGUUUGUCAUUAAAUGAUUUCUCAGGAGCCAUACCAAAAGAAAUCGGGAAUUUGACCAAACUCAAGGAAUUAUCUCUUGACGGUAACAGGCUCCAAGGUGCGCAUGAUCACAGAGUUUAAUUAUGAAAAUUGUUGCAUAAGUUAUAUGGAUAUCCUUGAUAACCGCAGCAAGCAAACGAAAUCAAAUAAAAGCUAACUGAGACUCGAAUAUCCUAAACCCUGAAAAGGAAUGGUAAUGGUAUAAUAUGGAUUCUGUAGGCAUAUUUCACUGGACUCAACAUUUAUGGUUAAUUUACAACUCUUUGUUGGAAAGUCUGAGAAAUUGCUUUAUAUUAGGGGUGGGGAAAAUAAUGCUGGGCCACGAAUUUCAGGCAGAAUCCAGAUGGGGCCCUAUUAGACUUAUAGCUCAGCUCUGUGUCGAUAUCUGGGCCUUUACAAAUAAUUAAUGGGCCAAUUAAUAAUAAUAAAUAAAUUGAGAAGGGUGUGAGUGAAAUUAGAUAUGAAUGAAUCUGCCAGUGUAUGUACACAUUUUUCUAAUUAAUGCGUUAUGAGCCUGCCGCUGCUGGAAAUUAAAAAAUUUAAAUAUUUUAUAAUAUGGUAAUUAUUUUAUUUUAAGUCUCUAAUUUUUAAUUUAUUGAAAUCAUAUUUUUAUAUCUACUAUAAAAUAAGUAAAUGGGGAAUGGGGUGGGGAUGGGGGAAUCAUUCCCCACGUGGGGAUUCCUCAUCCCCAACUCACUAAAUUUAUUGGGGAAUGGGGUGAGGAAUGGAGGCAAAAAUUUUUAAUGGGAUGGGAAAUGGGGUAGGCAUCCCCACCCCCACCCCGCCCCAUUGCCAUCCCUAGCGUUAUGAGCCUGCCGCUGCCAGCAUGGAAAUUACAGCAACUAAGAAGAGAAUUGACCCAUUAAUUAAAUUAAAAAGAACACUGAAUAUAUAAGCAGUCAAAAUAUAGGUGAAGUAGGCAUGAAUUGUCACAUAACUAACUUUGAGAGUAAAACCGUGACUUGGGUUUGAAUGUUUGAUUAAGUUACUUCUAUUUCAAGUUGCUUAUUUUGCGUGGGCUUCCGGCUUAAUUACACACGGUCGAACACUUACACAGUUCCCCAGACAUAGGCUUUCACUUUUCACCACACAUUUGAUAAUUUCUUAGCCUUCCCAAUUAGAUUAUAGCAAUUUAUAUAUAAAUAACUAAAGCAUACAAAAGCCACCAUUGAUGUACGGAUGAGUGGUGUGAAAAGUGUAUCUUGUUUUAUUUAUUAUUGUUCUAUGAUACAAAUCUGAAUAAUGGAAUAUAAUGCUUUGAAAAUACCGAUGAAAUAGCACAUGAAAUCAGAAAAUAUUUUACUGCAAUAAGAAUUCAUAUAUUCAUUGUAGUAGCACAUAUAAAAUAGACUAUAAAUUUAAUUUUAAAAUACAUUCUUAUCUUCAUAUAAAUUUUACAUUACUAAUUUAAAUUAACAUUAAAAUAUGUUGUUUCUUUCACUAUGUUAUUUUAUUUACACAAUGAUGUGACUAUUGGAAUUAAUAAUACUUAUAAUUAUUUUGUAAAAAUAUAAAUUUAAUACUUUGUUAACAUUUUAUCUACAUAUAAUAAUUAAACUGAAACUUGUAUUUAAAAAACACUAGUUACGCAUAUUCAUUUCAUGACAUAAAAAUGUAUAUUUAUGCUAAUUUACCGGUAUCAACAAAAUGCUUUGAGACAAAUAAUCUAAUUUAUAUUUGUAUAUUUAAAAACUUGCAUUUAUUAUAUUUUGAAAAAAAUUUAUUUGCAAUUAUUUUAAACCGUUGGAAGUUGGAUUCAAAUUUUUGUAGUUAUUAAAGUCAAAGGGUAUAAAUGUGUAAUAGUCAAAAACAGAUUUGUAUGAUCAUUUUUCAAUGUAUAAAUUUUCUUAGUUAGUAGGAAAAUUGGAAAUUGUUGAUUUACUCAUAAAUAAAUUUAAUGUUUAGCAUUUCAAUUUUGGAAAACUUGACCCACGGACCCAUUGAAAGUUUUAUUCGAAUUGAGUUUCCCGGUGCUUACUCAUUUUAUUUACAAAUGAGUUGAUUAGCAUCGAAGUUACUUGAGAGUCUGAGACCAUGCUAGUAGGAGAAAUUUGAAAAGAAAUUAUUUUACUGAAUUAAUUUAUUUUAUCUUGUUGUAACUGAAAUACUACUUUUUUUUUGGGCUGUCACUGGGGCUUGAUUUACUUUAAUAGUAGCAGCCACCGACUUAGGCGUUUUUUACUUCUCACCAGACAAUUUGAUCUUUUAAUUCGUUUUAACCACAUAAUCUAUCUAUUUCUCACCUAUUGCUUACUUAAAUCGCAUACAUAUUUUACCUACUAAUUUUUAUAAAUAUUAGUCAAAUAUAUUUUAUUACGUUUCUCUCGUAACUGCUCCAAAUGUGUACUAUUAAUACUUAACCCUCCCUUUUAAUUUACUGUGCAAUCUAUCUAUCACUUAAGUCACAUAUAUAUAUUUUACCUAGAUUUUAACCCAAAAAAUAUAAAAAUAAAAGAAAAAGAAUAUGUGUAGCAAUUUGCAUAUAACUAACAAAGCAUUGAUGGCGUGUAGCCUUUCAAUACUUCACGAGUGGCUUUUCUUGUGUGUUAGUACUUGUAAUAAUUGUGUAGCGUAUAAAUGACAUUUUAUUAUUAAAGUGCGUCCAUUUUUAGAUAUUACUUAUUAUUUGAAAAAUAAUCUGAAUAUAAUUCUUUUAAAAUACAGGGGAGAUACCACUUGAAAUUAGUAAUCUCCAAAAUCUGGAGGAGUUGGACCUUCGUCACAACAAAUUAGUUGGUACUGUCCCAGCUGCAAUCUUUAAUAUGUCAAUGCUCAAAUUACUUCAUCUUCAAAAUAAUUCUCUCUUGGGAUGUCUUUCGUCCAUUGCAGACGUCCGACUACCAAAUCUUGAAGCGCUUUUAUUGUGGGGUAAUAAUUUCAGUGGCACAAUUCCUCGUUUCAUCUUUAAUGCUUCUAAGCUCUCUAUACUAGAGUUAUCACAGAACUCAUUCUCCGGUUUUAUUCCCAACACAUUUGGCAACUUAAGAAACCUUGAGUGGCUUAAUUUACGAGAUAAUUAUUUGACAUCUUCAACUCCAGAAUUGAGCUUUCUAUCCUCGUUGUCAAAUUGCAAGUCUUUAACAUUUAUUCACUUAUCAGAUAAUCCACUGGAUGGCAUUCUUUCUAAGACGUCUAUCGGUAAUCUUUCUCAUUCUUUGAAAGACUUUUACAUGUCCAAUUGUAAUGUUAGUGGCGGCAUCCCUGAAGAGAUCACCAACUUGACCAACUCGAUAACCAUUGAUUUAGGGGGCAAUAAAUUGAAUGGAUCAAUUCCGAUUACUCUCAGCAAAUUACAGAAGCUUCAAGGUUUGGGUCUUGAUGAUAACAAAUUAGAAGGAUCAAUCCCAGACAGUAUUUGUCGUUUGACUGAACUGUAUGAGUUGGAGUUGGGUGGCAAUAAGCUUUUUGGAUCAAUCCCUGCAUGCUUCAGUAAUCUGGCUUCUCUGAGGAUACUGUCGUUAAGUUCCAAUGAGUUAACUUCUAUUCCCUUAACUUUUUGGAACCUUAAGGAUAUCUUGCAACUCAACUUUUCAUCAAAUUUUUUGACUGGCCCACUCCCAUUAGAGAUUGGAAAUUUGAAGGUUUUGAUUGGAAUUGAUUUUUCGAUGAAUAAUUUUUCAAGCGUUAUCCCAACAGAAAUUGGAGGCCUAAAAAAUCUAGAAUAUCUAUUCUUAGGAUAUAAUAGAUUGGAAGGAUCGAUUCCUGAUUCAUUUGGUGAUUUGAUAAGUUUGAAAUUCUUGAAUUUGUCCAAUAAUAAUCUCUCUGGGGCUAUUCCUACAUCUUUAGAGAAACUCUCAUAUCUUGAAGAUCUAAAUCUUUCUUUCAACAAGCUAGAAGGAGAAAUUCCUAGGGGAGGGUCUUUUGGAAACUUCGCAGCUGAAUCAUUUGAGGGAAAUGAAUUAUUAUGUGGUUCACCCACUUUACAAGUCCUGCCAUGCAAAACUAGCAUCCACCAUACAUCAUGGAAAAAUUCUCUUCUCCUAGGGAUUGUCUUGCCAUUGAGUACUACAUUAUUGAUAGUAGUCAUUUGGUUGAUCCUAAGAUAUCGUAAGAGAGGAAAACAACCAUCGAAUGAUGCUAAUAUGCCACUAGUAGCAACGUGGAGAACAUUUUCAUAUCUAGAACUUUGUCGAGCAACAAACGGAUUCAGUGAAAACAAUCUAAUCGGCAGAGGAGGUUUUGGCUCUGUUUAUAAGGCAAGACUUGGGGACGGGAUGGAGGUUGCAGUGAAAGUUUUCAAUUUGCAAUGUGGAAGAGCGUUCAAGAGUUUUGCUGUUGAAUGUGAAAUGAUGAAAAGUAUCCGUCAUCGAAACCUUAUCAAAGUUAUUAGUAGUUGUUCAAAUGAAGAGUUUAAAGCGUUGGUAUUAGAAUACAAGCCUCAUGGAAGUUUGGAGAAGUAUCUGUAUUCCAGUAAUUGCAUUUUGGAUAUUUUUCAAAGAUUGAACAUAAUGAUAGAUGUUGCAUCAGCUUUGGAAUAUCUGCACUUUGGUUGUUUAGCUCCAGUAAUUCAUUGUGACUUAAAGCCCGACAAUGUAUUGUUAGAUGAUAAUCUGGUUGCUUAUUUGAGUGAUUUUGGCAUCGCGAAGCUCUUAAUUGGAGAAGAUCAGUCUAUGACUCAAACGCAAACACUUGCCACAAUAGGUUAUAUGGCACCAGGUUUGUUCAAUAUAAAUAUUUUCUAUUUCUUGUAAAUUUCCUAAUAAGUUAUUUAUGUUUCAUGAUCUUCAUUAGAUGAGGAAAUUAUUAUUAAUGAUAUAUCUUACUAUUUAACUGUUGCAAUUCAUAGAGUAUGGAAGAGAAGGACGAGUAUCCACAAAUGGAGAUGUUUAUAGCUUUGGAAUUAUGUUAAUGGAAACUUUUACCGGGAAGAAACCCACAGAUGAAAUUUUUAAUGGAGAAAUGACAUUAAAGCAUUGGGUUAAUGACUGGCUACCCAUUUCCACUAUGGAAGUUGUUGAUGCUAAUUUGCUAAGUCAGGAGGACAUACAUUUUGUUGCAAAGGAGCAAUGUGUGUCAUUUGUCUUCAAUUUGGCUAUGGCGUGCACUGUGGAAUCUCAUGAGCAGAGAAUCAAUGCAAAAGAAAUUGUAACAAAGCUCUUAAAAAUUAGAGACUCAUUACUUAGAAAUGUUGGAGGCAGACGUAUAAGUCAACCAAAUUUAAAUUGAUUCUACCCCUCCAUUGCUUGCUAUCCUUUUCAGAGACUUGAACGGUUAUCCUUCAUACCAGUUUUGUUGAUAUGUUUUGUUAUUGCUCUUGCUCAUGUUUGUUUCUCUAUUUCUUUAAUUUGCAUGCAUGUAUUUUUCGUUCUCUUUUAUGUUUUUGUUGGUUUGUAUGUAGUUUGUUUUUAGGGGUAAGGUUGAUUAUGUCCUCCCCUAAUUACACGUAUCCUUUUUAUGUUUAUUCAAUAAAGCUUCUCUAAUACUAUCAAGGUUCAUCAAAAGAAAAUUUUUAAUUAAUUUUCUUUUCUUUGACAGGUAAUGAAAUUCUAAUCUUCAUAGUGAAUAACUUCAAUAAUAGAGUGUAAGAGUGUUAGUAAUUAUGGUUGUUUUUUGAACCUGGAGUCAAGAGCAAUUUAACAGCAACAAACAAGUCUCUUGUAUUAUAGGCAAAAUUCUUUUCAUUAAUCUUAUUUGUCUACAUGUUCUCCUAUUUUCACCAUUAAUCUUCGCUCAAGGUUUC